rnacentral:rRNA from 1 species
UACGGAGGGUGCGAGCGUUGUCCGGAAUCACUGGGCGUAAAGCGUGCGCAGGCGGUUUUGUAAGCCAGAUGUGAAAUCCCCGGGCUUAACCUGGGAAUGGCAUUUGGGACUGCAAGGCUCGAGUGCGGCAGAGGAGACUGGAAUUCCUGGUGUAGCAGUGAAAUGCGUAGAUAUCAGGAGGAACACCGAUGGCGAAGGCAGGUCUCUGGGCUGACACUGACGCUCAUGCACGAAAGCGUGGGGAGCAAACAGG